AUGGCACUGGGCAGCCCAGCUGCUGAACACCACCAUGAGAGGCGAGCAGCCCUGCCUCCUGCAGCUCCUCAGCCCCACGGGCAGAGCCCCCCAGGCUGCUGCUCAGCCCACCCAGAGCGAGGGCAGAGCGCGGGGCCGUGCCAGCAGGCAGUGCCCUGCCUUAGCACCGCAGCCCCAGAGCCAACAAACCUCGUGCUGCCGGCAGUGCCUGCUACAAAAGCUCCUUUGUUCCUGCCACGCGAGCCCAGCCCAGGCUGCUGCCCGGACACACCGCCUGCAUUGUGCCCUCCUGACACAGGAGGCUGGCUGGGCGCGGGGGCUGCUCUCUGGCUGCUGCUGGGGCUCGCUCACAGGGGGUGCCGGGGGGCUGAGCCCAGGCAGGCAGCGAGCACCAGCGCUGCAGGGCCUCUGUCAGCAGCAGCAACACAAGCCUCCCUCGGGGCUCUGCUGACCCGAAGCCCUUGUCACAGGCACGCAGAGCUCCUCUGCCCCCCGGCUGGCCACACUCACCUGCCACUGCCCCGCCACGGCACGGGCAGAGCUAGGGGGGUGCUGAGCAGAGGGCACAAAGGGGGUGUUUCUAAAGCACAAUCCCCGCUUGCCCAUGCUCCUUCAGGUUGCUCCAUCAUGCACGGGCACGGAGACCUGUCUCAGGCAGGAAGGAGGAAAACAGGACCAGUGAGCUGCCAUCCCCACAGCGACACUGCAGGAUCUGCUUCCAGCCCCGGCUCCCACCCAGUGCAAGAGGGGCAGGAGGGGAAGGGGAAGGCUUUUGCUGGAUCCCAAGAAGGGUUAAAUUCCCUCUAUUCAGCAAUGGUGGGAGGGAAUUUAUCUCCAGGCAGGAGCCUUGAUACCACCUGGGAUGAAGCCAAGAGAAAAGCAAAUUCCUCCAGUGAACUUAUCCCCCUCCAGUGCUGCCUACCCAGCCACAGGGAGUUUCCUCUGCAGCCACGCAGCCACAGAGACACAGCACUGUUUUUAUUUUCCCAGCCGCAGUCUGCCACAGCCCAGCAUCUCUUCGUUGGAGCCGGAGCCAGCAGACAACUAGGCUUAAGGGGAAGCGGCUGGACUCCCCCGCAGGCCUGGCGAGCCAGCGCUCCGAGGCUGCUGUUCCUGGAGCACACUGGUCCCUCGCUGCAGGAGGAGCUGUGCUUGGCAGGGCAGCCCCAGCAGCCGGGGUGGAGCUGGCCUGGCCUCGCCGGACACCGGCGCGGUCCAAGGACUUCAGGCUCCAACUGUGCAAGAGAAAAUCCCGGCUGUCUCAGGGGAGCAGACGUCAGGGCAGGACGAAGAAGGGCCCUUUACCAUGUCAGGAAGGAGAAUCCUGUUGUAGUCUCCACAAGCAGUGGCUGCCUGUGCUCUCCUCAGCUCCCCAGCACCGCCUGGGACCUGGUGGUGACCGCUCAGCUGGCUGCCCCCACCCCGUGCUCUGCAGGACGGGGCCAAGCUCUUCACCAGGAGCUGCCCUGA
rnacentral:lncRNA from 1 species